GACGCACACGGAGACACACCGGCUAUGCACCCUAGGACGACUCCGAUCUAGAUCGGACGCGCGAGAGUGGAGACGGCAGGAGAGACGAAUCGCACGCCAGAAAUCAACCUUAAAGGUCACCACCGCAAACACGGGUACAAGUGAAGCACGGCCCAUUAUCAAGGUCAAGCAGACAUGGAAAUAAGAUGUAUGUUCGCUGAACCACGCGGAGUCUCACCGAUACCAAUAAAUUGCCCAACUCAGACAACAAGAGCGGUACUCGAAGCACACGGAUAACUACAGGAGUAACUGAAGCUAGAAAAAACGCCCCAUGGACCGAACGGGGUUUGGUGUUCCUGUCCCUGAGCGCGAGGACGGAUCAAUCGUGCACAGGUUGAGCUGAUUGGCUGGUGGAUUCGACUAGAGCGCUUCAUUCGCUCCAAGCAUCUGGUAGAGCAGGGCCAUGCGCGCUGAUGGAGUGCUCGAAAAUCGGGCGCAUCACGUGGACGCAGAGCGGAGUGCGUGCCAACACCGUACGCGCAACAAUAUCCUACGCGUCGGGCGGACGCAAAGCUUCGUGCGCGGCAACACCGUACAUCAGAGACAUGCGAGGUUGAAGUAGGAGUUUUGAAUCUAUUUUCAA